rfam:Triticum aestivum genome assembly, contig: Triticum_aestivum_CS42_TGACv1_scaffold_249029_3DL
AACCUACUCCCUCCGUCCCGAAUUACUUGUCGCAUAAAUGGAUAGAAAUGGAUGUAUCUAUAACUAAAAAUAUGUCUAGAUACAUCCAUUUUACGUGACGAGUAAUUCCGGACAGAGGGAGUACAUA